CAAAUGACUCAGUCCGAUCGGACUCCCCACUCCACUUUUCGGGGAUGCGGACAAGUGCCACCAGUGAUCGAAGCUGCUUUACCGGCUAGAUUGGCGGGGACGCGGCGGCGUUGGACGGCGACGGCACGGUCCCGUUGGCGGUGAUCCUGAGGCGGCGGAUGUCGUGGGAAAGGAUCGAGAAGCCGGACGUACUCUACGAGGCGGCGAGAGAGAGGAAGAAGGGGGAGGACUUCACUCUCGUGAAGACCGAAUGCCAGCGAGUUCCCGGGCAUGGUGACACCACGGUCUCGGUUCCUGCGCUUUUUGAUGGUCACAACGGGUUUGAGCAGCUGCUAUAUACUCCAAGGAGAAUCUCUUGAACAAUGUUUUAAGUGUCAUUCCAUCAGAUCUUAGCAGGAAUGAGUGGAUUCAAGCGUUUCCAAGAGCUUUGGUUGUAGGGUUAGUUAAAACUGAUAAAAAUUUCAAGGAAAUAGGUAUGAGCGAAAUUAUGUAUUGACUUAUUGGAGCUUACAUAUGGUACAACUGAUUAAUUAUCUUCUACAGAAUAACUUCCAGAGUAUAACACUUGUGACCUAUGUGGAGCACCUUAGCUCGGCAGACUAAUGCUUACCAUGAAGAAACAUCUUCUAGAUUAUAAUUUCUCCACGAGGAACUGAUGCAGUAAUAUGCAUCAUUUUCUCAGCUGGUGUUUCUGCUUCAUUAACAUCUCUUCUUUAAUUUCCAUCUUCUGCAGCAUCCUUCUUUUCAGCGUUCUAGUUGACAGAUAUAUCCUUGGAUAUUCUUGCACACAAGUUAAUGACUUUUGUCAGAACUGGUUCUGGGAAGACAUUGCUGGUGUUUCUCAGCUUGUAUCAAAUAGUACAGUGUACUAACUACUAACAUGGUACAAGUUUAAUAGAUCAGCAUAAACAUAUUAGAUCCGUAUAGUAUUUGCUGUAGAAAUGGAAUUAUUAACAACAUACUAUAAUAUAUAUGUGCAAUUGUCAGCAGUCAGCAGCAUGGAAACAAACUAACCAAUGUAUCUUAUUCUUCAUUAUUCGCACUUUUCUAGCUUUGUGAUGCUUUUUCAAGUCUCUAUAUUUCAUUUUAUUCUUAGAGUUGUUUAUCUUUCUGUUAUAACAACAUAUGUUCCAAGACGAGAAGACAGAGCAGUUCUGCAUUCUAUUUAAUAUUGUAAGGCACCAAUGAGUUUCUUUUUCUUUUUUCUUUAUUAUUUUCCACCUCCUCUCUUGCUUUCAUUUUUUUCAGUGUUUUUAUGCAUAAAUGAGCAAGAUGCUAUUACCGUUUAUUAUAUAAAGGGCAAAACAAAUUUCGUCUGUAAGCUUGUAAACCUAUGAAGCAUGAAUGCUACAAAAUGUUUGUCAUGUCAAUGCUGAUACUCACAUGUGGAAUAUUUCAAAAGAAUAAAACUUUUGGAUACAUCUACUUUAUUUUAACAUUGAUGUGUUUUAUGCACUCCGAACAAUUAUAUCAAAUAUAAUAUCUCAGAUCAUAAUGAACAUUGGUAGUUUUUGUGUAAUUUGAUUUUUCACUUAACAUUUUGUGUAUUUUUUAAUGUUCUCUAGAUGUUUGUCAUUAUUGAUUCAAGUUUCAUAGAUGAUGGCCGUGGAUUGUCUAGAUUAUCUAGUCUACCAUAGAAAUUGUAAAAAAAUGUCAGAUCAUAUACUUGUAUUAUCUGCUGUGUUCCUGAUAUAUGAGUCUUGAUUUUAUAAAAGAAAUUGUCAUGUCAGCAUGAGAGUGUGAUCUUAAGUUUCUUAGGAAAUUAUCUUGCCUUCAUCUAGUCUCUAUUUAAAUAUUUUCCAGGUUGGCCCUCUUUGGUGCUGGCCUGGUGGCUUGUGCCUAUCAAUCAAAAUUGUUAAGGUGUUGAAGAGGGAGAGGAGAAAAAUUAAAAACCAAAAGAUAAAUCCAUCAGAGAUUAACAAUCAAAAGAAUAUACCAGAAGUCGAUGCAAGAUUUAACGUGGUUCGAUAAUUUUCAUCUGCAUCCAUGGAGAAAACAAAAUUCUUCAAUAUAUAAGAUCAAUUAUAAGACCCUUUAAUCAUCCCCACUCAAACACGAAUUCUCUUGCACAUCUCUCUCACAUAAACCUAAAUAAUUUUUCUCUCAAUCCUUUCUAGAAACCCUAAAGAAUACCUUAAGGAGCAACCAAAGUGCCUUGACUUUUCCUCUCACUAAAACCAGAAGACUCGGGGUAUAUUUAUAGGAACAAAUACUACGUCACUAAAGAAUUUCAAUUUAAUUAGGAUUCUACUAACUAAUUUGAAUACAAUUAAGACUCCUAAAAGUACUAACACAAAGUCUUCUAUACAAUGGCUCUUAUAUCACGGUACAAUUUGAGUUCAAUUUUCAGGAAGCUGUGCACACAGUGGGACUUCAAGAUGAUACUACAUCCAUUGUGGUUGACAUAUUACCAUCAGAGAAAAUAUCACCUUCUUUUCCACCCUUUUAGAGGCCAGGAACAAGUGUAUUUAAGAAUAUGUUCCGCUGAGGAUCUUCUGAAUCAUCAUUAUUUUCAGAUAGAGACUAUUUUGAAGCAGACAUGGUUGAAGAAAUAUUUAUGGGUCCCCAGUCCUUGCUCAAAGUUGGAGAUGAAAGCAAGGGAAGGCGUUUCUGCGCAUGAUGGUUCAUCAAGACCUGGAAAAGUGCAUCCCCGGAAUGGUAAUUUCCUUUGCUCAAUUUGUCAAACCAAGAAGGAAGCCAUGGAAAGAAGACGUCCAUAGGGAGAUUGUGCCUACACAGAUAACUGAAUAAUCGCUGCAACUGUUGGUAUUAAUGGAUCCUACUUCUGGCACAACCUCAUCGGCAGUUCAACAGCUUAUCAAGUCAGCUCUCUAUGCCUCGGCAGCAUGCAAAAGAGCCAGUUCCUCUGCAGAUUGUGGUAACUGAGAACAUUUUGCUCCCUUUACUCUGAGGCCUUAGUAGAUUUGAGAUAACAGUGUGUUACUUUGUCAUCUUGUGUUCCAUAAAUUCGCAAGAAUAGAUCGGAUUAGCAAUUCUUUCCUGGUUAUCUGCCAUGUACAAGAACCGAUACAGAGGUGUUAAAAUGGUCAGUCUGUACUUUGCACCUUUAUUGCUUGCUUAAGCAAGCCUUGUUUUCUUAAUUCGCUAAACAUCAUGGUUAUUAUAUCUCUUUGUUGCUAGUCAGUUGAGAGUGCAAAAUUAACAAACAGGUAUUGCCUUGCUUACAUGUCCCUCAUUUCUCAUGUCGACGUUUUUUUUUCAUCUUUUCGUUUUAUGGCUCCAAAAAUAUUGAUCUGUCAAUAACAAACAUUUCUGCAGGAUAUCCAAUCUGUUAAUGGCAAAUUCGAUCAUCAGCCCGACCCGAUGUGCUGAAGCUAACCUGACCUGCUUUUGCAAGAGGCAUUUAACCGGAUUUGGAAUCCCAAAUUUUAUGUGCAAGAAGGUAUUUUUAUCGAGAUGCCUCUGGAACUCAAGUUAGUAAGAUAUUCCGAGGUCAAAAUAUAGUAUUAAAUAUGAGAGAGCUUAUAUUAUGCAUGAAGCAGUCUUAAUUCUAGUUCAGUAGCUCUUUAUGUGGGAUGUUGA